rnacentral:rRNA from 1 species
AGGACGAACGCUGGCGGCGUGCUUAACACAUGCAAGUCGAGCGGUAAGGCCUUUCGGGGUACACGAGCGGCGAACGGGUGAGUAACACGUGGGUGAUCUGCCCUGCACUCUGGGAUAAGCCUGGGAAACUGGGUCUAAUACCGGAUAUGACCUGCUCUCGCAGUGGGGGUGGGUGGAAAGAUUUAUCGGUGCAGGAUGGGCCCGCGGCCUAUCAGCUUGUUGGUGGGGUAAUGGCCUACCAAGGCGACGACGGGUAGCCGACCUGAGAGGGUGACCGGCCACACUGGGACUGAGACACGGCCCAGACUCCUACGGGAGGCAGCAGUGGGAAUAUGCACAAUGGGCGAAAGCCUGAUGCAGCGACGCCGCGUGAGGAUGAAGGCCUUAGGGUUGAAAGCUCUUUACCCGAGAUGAUAAUGACAGUAUCGGAGAAUAAGCCCCGGCUAACUCCGUGCCAAGCAGCCGC